AGAGGUUCAGAUUCAUAAACACAAAUAAACAUCUGACAAGUGAAUUAAUGCUUUAUUUAGUCUGGAGAAGAAUUAUAAUCCAUAUUUAUUUACUUUAAGAUGAUGCUGUGAACCAAACUAAUAGAUGAAUAACUACAGAAAACAAGCUGAGUUAAAACCAGAGAGAGAAAAUAAAACCAUGAGGAAACUCAUCUGAAACACCUUCAGUAAAACUAACCACUGAUCUGCUGACCUGAGAUGAAGCAGAUCAGAUACGAUGAGCUGAAGCCUGGCAGACAUUUCAAAUGUUUCUUAAAACAAAGAGAUGCUGAAACAGGAGCAGCGUGGCUUUAAGGGGUUCAAAAUGAUCCAAAGAAAGAAAAGCUUCAUUUUGGCCAGUUGUCUGAGAUAACUCAGCUAACCUGAGCCUGAGCUAAUCUGAGCCUGAGCUAAUCUGAGCCUGAGCUAAUCUGAGCCUGAGCUAACAGAGCUAAUCUGAGCAUCAGGUUUCCAACUAUAAUCCACUAAUAUAUAUUCCACAUACAUAUUAGUCUAGGUUUGGAUUGUAGCUGGAAACCUGAAGCUCAGGUUAGCUCUGUUAGCUCAGGUUAGCUCUGUUAGCUCAGGCUCAGGUUAGCUCUGUUAGCUUAUGCUCAGGUUAACUCUGUUAGCU